rnacentral:snRNA from 1 species
UGCAGCAGCACGCUCCGU